AACGAACGCUGGCGGCAUGCCUAACACAUGCAAGUCGAACGAGACCUUCGGGUCUAGUGGCGCACGGGUGCGUAACGCGUGGGAACCUGCCCUUAGGUUCGGGAUAACUCUCCGAAAGGGGUGCUAAUACCGGAUAAUGUCUUCGGACCAAAGAUUUAUCGCCUUUGGUUGGGCCCGCGUUGGAUUAGCUAGUUGGUAGGGUAAAAGCCUACCAAGGCGACGAUCCAUAGCUGGUCUGAGAGGAUGAUCAGCCACACUGGGACUGAGACACGGCCCAGACUCCUACGGGAGGCAGCAGUGGGGAAUAUUGGACAGUGGGCGAAAGCCUGAUCCAGCAAUGCCGCGUGAGUGAUGAAGGCCUUAGGGUUGUAAAGCGCUUUUACCCGGGAUGAUAAUGACAGUACCGGGAGAAUAAGCGCCGGCUAACUCCGUG
rnacentral:rRNA from 1 species